rnacentral:rRNA from 1 species
GAUAACGGCGUCGAGCGGCGGACGGGUGAGUAAUGCCUAGGAAAUUGCCCUGAUGUGGGGGAUAACCAUUGGAAACGAUGGCUAAUACCGCAUGAUGCCUACGGGCCAAAGAGGGGGACCUUCGGGCCUCUCGCGUCAGGAUAUGCCUAGGUGGGAUUAGCUAGUUGGUGAGGUAAGGGCUCACCAAGGCGACGAUCCCUAGCUGGUCUGAGAGGAUGAUCAGCCACACUGGAACUGAGACACGGUCCAGACUCCUACGGGAGGCAGCAGUGGGGAAUAUUGCACAAUGGGCGCAAGCCUGAUGCAGCCAUGCCGCGUGUGUGAAGAAGGCCUUCGGGUUGUAAAGCACUUUCAGUCGUGAGGAAGGUAGUGUAGUUAAUAGCUGCAUCAUUUGACGUUAGCGACAGAAGAAGCACCGGCUAACUCCGUGCCAGCAGCCGCGGUAAUACGGAGGGUGCGAGCGUUAAUCGGAAUUACUGGGCGUAAAGCGCAUGCAGGUGGUUUGUUAAGUCAGAUGUGAAAGCCCGGGGCUCAACCUCGGAAUUGCAUUUGAAACUGGCAGACUAGAGUACUGUAGAGGGGGGUAGAAUUUCAGGUGUAGCGGUGAAAUGCGUAGAGAUCUGAAGGAAUACCGGUGGCGAAGGCGGCCCCCUGGACAGAUACUGACACUCAGAUGCGAAAGCGUGGGGAGCAAACAGGAUUAGAUACCCUGGUAGUCCACGCCGUAAACGAUGUCUACUUGGAGGUUGUGGCCUUGAGCCGUGGCUUUCGGAGCUAACGCGUUAAGUAGACCGCCUGGGGAGUACGGUCGCAAGAUUAAAACUCAAAUGAAUUGACGGGGGCCCGCACAAGCGGUGGAGCAUGUGGUUUAAUUCGAUGCAACGCGAAGAACCUUACCUACUCUUGACAUCCAGAGAACUUUCCAGAGAUGGAUUGGUGCCUUCGGGAACUCUGAGACAGGUGCUGCAUGGCUGUCGUCAGCUCGUGUUGUGAAAUGUUGGGUUAAGUCCCGCAACGAGCGCAACCCUUAUCCUUGUUUGCCAGCGAGUAAUGUCGGGAACUCCAGGGAGACUGCCGGUGAUAAACCGGAGGAAGGUGGGGACGACGUCAAGUCAUCAUGGCCCUUACGAGUAGGGCUACACACGUGCUACAAUGGCGCAUACAGAGGGCAGCCAACUUGCGAAAGUGAGCGAAUCCCAAAAAGUGCGUCGUAGUCCGGAUUGGAGUCUGCAACUCGACUCCAUGAAGUCGGAAUCGCUAGUAAUCGUGGAUCAGAAUGCCACGGUGAAUACGUUCCCGGGCCUUGUACACACCGCCCGUCACACCAUGGGAGUGGGCUGCAAAAGAAGUAGGUAG